rnacentral:lncRNA from 1 species
AAUCUUGUUUUCUUCAAAAAACAGGCUAAAAGGUAUCAAAGAUAUUUCUACUCUUACCAGAAAAAGAAAUCCCUUUCCAUUUCCUACACAGUGGUCUUAACAGUAAAACAAAAAACAAUCAAAAAAACCCACUAAAGAUAAGAAGGCUGCUAACAGAAGCUGAUGAGCUCUCCAGGAGGAGCCAGGGAGAGAUGAAGCCACAAGAAGUCUGAGGGUCCAUGUGAAGAGUUGCAAUAGCAGGUAACUGAGGUGAUGGAAACCAGUUCAUCAUACACAGCAGGGAUUCAUAUAGCACCCCUG